UGAAAUUGAAUAUGAUGGACAUGUCAAAACCAUUCGACACGAUAGACAGGGCUACCAUAAUGCGGGAUCUGGCAGAAAUCAUCGAACAAGAUUAACUCCACAUGGUGAAACUGCUAGUAUUGGAAGAUGUGUCUGUCCUUCAGUCUCAGAUGAGAUUUCACAGCGAUAUUGUGUGGAAAUAUACGGUACGGAAUAAUACGGGUGUUUGCAUCUCACGCCGCCACCAUCACAAGCCUUCGGACGAGGCGACACAGAAAGAAUAAAUAAGGGGAAGUGUGAGGAGAAGGAGAGGCGACACAGGGAGGAGAAGGUGUGGCAAAUGCAGCAGCAGAAGGAGGUUCUGGAGUUGGGGAAGCUGACACAUCGCAGAGGGUGGCUGCGUGUGCCUUCGCUCAGGGAAAUCUUUCAGACCUAGUGCCUUUUGUCUUCUCCUGUCUGACCGACAGAGGCAACUUCUAAAAACCCAUGGACGCAAUCGUACGUGACGUCGUAAAAACCAGGAAGAGAGAAUUUGAGAAGGUGGAGGCUACUAAUCUCGUUGAUGGACUGUAGAUGGCAACACUGUUGUGCAACUGUAAAUACAUGGGAGUUGUGUGGAGUGCUGAUGGGUGAAUGCUUUGUAAACCUAUGAUUGAGCUUGAAAAUUUAUACAAGCGUCUCUUCCUUUUUUUAUAGCGAAAUUGAAUAAUGAUGUCAAGGGGUUGUAAAACGAGAAGUUAUUUUACGUAUUCAAAGAGUAAACCAAAUAGAUGGUUUAUCUGGUUAUUCCGUCUGA